ACACGUAGGUAACCUGCCCAUGUGCCCGGGAUAACUUCUGGAAACGGAUGCUAAAACCGGAUAGGUAGCAGACAAGCAUUUGACUGCUAUUAAAGUGGCUAAGGCCAUGAACAUGGAUGGACCUGCGGUGCAUUAGCUAGUUGGCGAGGUAACGGCCCACCAAGGCGACGAUGCAUAGCCGGCCUGAGAGGGCGGACGGCCACAUUGGGACUGAGACACGGCCCAAACUCCUACGGGAGGCAGCAUG
rnacentral:rRNA from 1 species